AAACCUAUCCUUUCCCUUCUUCCUCUCUUCAUCAAAUUUCAUUUUCUCCUCACAACCGUAGGAUCCCCUUACAUACAAACCUAAUCAUCUCCGCCGGUGCCGCCGCCGCUGCCAGAUCCCGUCGCAUAUUGUUCUUCAUGCUCUACUCUGUGCUCCGGAAGCAACCUGACAACAUCGAGGUCUAUGCCCCGCCAUAUUUUCAUGUUCAGUUUGAGAGUGUUUAUAUUGCUAGGGUUAUUGGGGUGUUUGUGUUGGUUCCAGUGUGUUUUCAUCUUCAGGGGUGGAGGAGAGUUUUAAGAGCAACAACAAAUAAAUUCAAAGGCAAGAAGAGAUCUUCAUUGGUUGUUGCCCGCUUUGUGAAGCUUUUGUGACUGUAAAUCAGGGGCUCAGUACGAUUUGUAGCAAAUUCGGGAUGAAAAUAGCCCAUAGGAGUGCAAGUGUUCAAGCCUGACACAGGCGGGACACGCUCGUGUCAUACCCCCUGAAGUUCUCAACCAAUUGUUGACUCAGUGAGAUUUCGGUGCUGAAGGAUAUUUGCAAGAUCGAUAUAGCCAGGACAUGGUCAUGUCAAUGCCCCUGAAAAAACCAGACCAUCAGUGAAUUCAUUGGAAAAUUAUUGACACGAGCUGAGUGCCCAUGACACGAUCGUGUCCUUGCCAUCGAACUUUUCAGGCUGAGACACUCCUUGUCACUUAUAUCGCCCCCAGCAUGACACGGUCUGAGACACGAUCGUGCGUAGACCGUGUCGAGCCCGAAAAGUGCCUUUUUAACUCCAGUUUUAACUCCAGUUUUUAAGGUUUCCUCUUCAUCUUUGUUUGGAGAUCUUCUUCUCCACCAGGAGGACUUUGAUGAGGAUGAAGAUCAAGCUUAUCCACAUCUUCUAGGGCGUAAAGGAGCAAGUUGGAGGCACAAGAAAAGUGGUGUUAGCACAAGGAGCUCGACAUCGGAGGCAAAUCUUAGAGUGAAGGGAGUCAUGUCUUCUUUCUCUAGAUCUAGUUUUUUCUCCUCCAUGUUGUACCCACCCAUGAGGGGCUAACCGGCCACGGUGCCCCAGGGUGGGAUCUUUGUACUUUUGAUGCUAAAAACACUUACAUUCUUUUGAUCUAUGGAGUUCUUUUGGUUCUUGUGUUAA